rnacentral:rRNA from 1 species
AUAUUGCGCAAUGGGCGGAAGCCUGACGCAGCGACGCCGCGUGGGGGAUGACGGCCUUCGGGUUGUAAACCCCUUUCAGCAUCGACGAAGCUUCAUCCUUGCAGGGUGGGGUGACGGUAGGUGCAGAAGAAGCGCCGGCUAACUACGUGCCAGCAGCCGCGGUAAUACGUAGGGCGCGAGCGUUGUCCGGAAUUAUUGGGCGUAAAGAGCUCGUAGGCGGUCUGUCGCGUCUGUCGUGAAAGCCCACGGCUUAACUGUGGGUCUGCGGUGGAUACGGGCAGGCUAGAGGCAGGUAGGGGAGCAUGGAAUUCCCGGUGUAGCGGUGAAAUGCGCAGAUAUCGGGAGGAACACCGGUGGCGAAGGCGGUGCUCUGGGCCUGUUCUGACGCUGAGGAGCGAAAGCGUGGGGAGCGAACAGG